rnacentral:rRNA from 1 species
GACGAACGCUGGCGGCGUGCCUAACACAUGCAAGUCAACUUGACUGAAGGAGCAAUCUGACAGUAGAGUGGCGCAAGGGUGCGUAACGCGUAAGUAACUUGCCCAAGGUAAGGAAUAACGUCGAGAAAUCGGCGCUAAUACCUCAUAAUGCAGCGGAUCCGCAUGGAUAUGUUGUUAAAGGUUUACCGCCUUGGGAUAGGCUUGCGUCUGAUUAGCUAGUUGGUGUGGUAACGGCACACCAAGGCUACGAUCGGUAACUGGUCUGAGAGGAUGAUCAGUCACACUGGAACUGAGACACGGUCCAGACUCCUACGGGAGGCAGCAGUGAGGAAUAUUGGGCAAUGCUCGAAAGAGUGACCCAGCAACGCCGCGUGGAGGAUGAAGGUAUUCUAUAUCGUAAACUCCUGUGAGAGCAGACGAAAGACAGAUUAUUAAUCUGGAUGACUGUAUGCUCAGAGGAAGCCCCGG